rnacentral:rRNA from 1 species
GACGAACGCUGGCGGCGUGCUUAACACAUGCAAGUCGAACGGAAAGGCCCUGCUUUUGUGGGGUGCUCGAGUGCGAACGGGUGAGUAACACGUGAGUAACCUGCCCUUGACUUUGGGAUAACUUCAGGAAACUGGGGCUAAUACCGGAUAGGAGCUCCUGCUGCAUGGUGGGGGUUGGAAAGUUUCGGCGGUUGGGGAUGGACUCGCGGCUUAUCAGCUUGUUGGUGGGGUAGUGGCUUACCAAGGCUUUGACGGGUAGCCGGCCUGAGAGGGUGACCGGCCACAUGGGGACUGAGAUACGGCCCAGACUCCUACGGGAGGCAGCAGUGGGGAAUAUUGCACAAUGGGCGGAAGCCUGAUGCAGCAACGCCGCGUGCGGGAUGACGGCCUUCGGGUGGUAAACCGCUUUCGCCUGUGACGAAGCGUGAGUGACGGGAAUGGGGAAAGAAGCACCGGCGAACUACGU